rnacentral:rRNA from 1 species
CAACUGAAGAGUUUGAUCCUGGCUCAGAACGAACGCUGGCGGCGUGGCUAAGACAUGCAAGUCGAACGGAACUGUGAUUGGGUAACUAAGAGCAGUUUAGUGGCGAAAGGGUGAGUAAUGCAUGGGUAACGUACCCUGGGCACCGGGAUAGCAGCGUCUGCUUCGGCAGACUUCCGAAAGGGCUGGUAAUACCGGAUGCGGUCAGAAGCACUGAGGUGUUUUUGAAAAACACCUCAG